AGCUCUAAGCUGGUUCCAGGCUCUAGCCAGGACCUGACUACAACCUACUUAGCAGUGAAGGAGGACCCAUAUUAAGAUAUGCCAGGAAACAGAGCCAAUGGAAAACCAGCAUAGACAGGAACUGUUCAAGACAGAAUAGUUUAAAAGAGGAUGGACAAUUUUAUGGGCCGUAUUGAAGAAGUUUGAGAGGGCAGAGAAACGGAAAUAUUACGUUGCACCGGGUUAUGAAGAAGGAGGAAGGGGCCAAUUCCCGCCAAACCAUCCUGGAGUCCAGUUGCAGGUGACCACAUGUUUGGCUCUGGAACAGCACCAGAUAUUCAAUCUCUGGGGUACCUUAUAACAGUAGAAGUCAGAUGCUGAGACCAGUUUUGCUUCAACAUAAAAGACUAUUUUAAACAACAAGGCACAGAUA
rnacentral:lncRNA from 1 species